rnacentral:rRNA from 1 species
GACGAACGCUGGCGGCGUGCCUAAUACAUGCAAGUAGAGCGCUGAAGGAGGAGCUUGCUUCUCUGGAUGAGUUGCGAACGGGUGAGUAACGCGUAGGUAACCUGCCUGGCAGCGGGGGAUAACUAUUGGAAACGAUAGCUAAUACCGCAUAAUAUUGACUAUUGCAUGAUAGUCAGUUGAAAGGUGCAACUGCACCACUACCAGAUGGACCUGCGUUGUAUUAGCUAGUUGGUGGGGUAACGGCUCACCAAGGCGACGAUACAUAGCCGACCUGAGAGGGUGAUCGGCCACACUGGGACUGAGACACGGCCCAGACUCCUACGGGAGGCAGCAGUAGGGAAUCUUCGGCAAUGGACGGAAGUCUGACCGAGCAACGCCGCGUGAGUGAAGAAGGUUUUCGGAUCGUAAAGCUCUGUUGUAAGAGAAGAACGAGUGUGAGAGUGGAAAGCUCACACUGUGACGGUAUCUUACCAGAAAGGGACGGCUAACUACGUG